UACAGAGGUCUCAAGCGUUGUUCGGAUUCAUUGGGCGUAAAGGGUGCGUAGGUGGCGCUGUAAGUCGGGUGUGAAAUCCUGAGGCUUAACCUCGGAACUGCAUUCGAUACUGCGGCGCUUUGAGGACUGGAGAGGAGACUGGAAUUCAUGGUGUAGCAGUGAAAUGCGUAGAGAUCAUGAGGAAGACCAGUGGCGAAGGCGGGUCUCUGGACAGUUCCUGACACUGAGGCACGAAGGCCAGGGGAGCAAACGGG
rnacentral:rRNA from 1 species